rnacentral:tmRNA from 1 species
GUGCUGUUAACGCGAUUCAACCUAAGUAGGAUAUGCUAAACACUGCCGUUUGAAGUCUGUUUAGAUGAAAACCAAUCAAACUAGCAUAAUGUUGGUUGUUUAUCACCUCUCAUUAUGCGAAACUCAAUGAUAAACUACACACGUAGAAAGAUAUGUAUCAGGACCUCUGGACGCGGGUUCAAAUCCCGCCGUCUCCAUUA